rnacentral:rRNA from 1 species
AUUGAACGCUGGCGGCAGGCCUAACACAUGCAAGUCGAGCGACCGGCGGACGGGUGAGUAAUGUCUGGGAAACUGCCUGAUGGAGGUGGAUAACUACUGGAAUCGGUAGCUAAUACCGCAUCCCAUCAGAUCUGCCCAGGUGGGAGUAGCUAGUAGGUGGGGUAACGGCGCACCCCGGCGCCACUCCCUAGCUGGACUGAGAGGAUGACCAGCCACACUGGAACUGAGACACGGUCCGGACUCCUACGGGAGGCAGCAGGGGGGAAGAUGGCACAAUGGGCGCAAGCCUGAUGCAGCCAAGCCGCGUGUGUGAAGAAGGCCUUCGGGUUGUAAAGCACUUUCAGCGGGGAGGCGUUACCCGCAGAAGAAGCACCGGCUAACUCCGUGCCAGCAGCCGCGGUAAUAC